GCAAACUCCACACAGAAAUGCCAGCUGAUCCAGCCGAGGCUCGAGUCAGCAUCCUUGCUUGUUGGAUGCCUGAUUGCAGUUCAACUCCAAACUCAGUUGGACCAGCUGAUCAGUGUCUUCAGUAUUACCACAAGCUUCUGGGCAGAUGUGUGGACAGCUAUGAGCCAAACUUGGGACGUUUGGCUUUUAGCAGGUGGAGAGCAGCAGAAACAAGACAACUAAUCAUAGUUAGGUUGAGAUUAGUAUUAUUAACUUGACUAGUUUGGCUGCAGACUUGUUCAAUAAUUAACAAUUUGUAUAAGUUACAAGAUCAAUGGUCCUGCUAUCAAUGUUUUUGUAACUUAAAUUCAUUACAGUUUAGAUACAAUCAAAUGUCCAAACCAUCUCUGAGUGAAUGACAUCAAGGAAACAGGAUCAAAAGAUCAUUCAUUAUAGACCGUUUCAUAGUUGGUUAUAUUUUUCAGGUCCUCCUGAUCAUUCCGUUCUCCUGGUUGUGAGGAUGUGCAGAGGCUGUAUUUGUCAGUGUUAAAAGACUUGUGCAGCUGUAUCCAGACAUACAAGCAGCCGACAAAGAGUUCUGGAGCAGGACAGACAGGUAGUUCACAGUGGCUAGGCUAGAAGUUUAU